GACGAACGCUGGCGGCGUGCCUAAUACAUGAAAGUAGAACGCAGUUGCGAACGGGUGAGUAACGCGUAGGUAAUUGCCUCAUAGCGGGGGAUAACUAUUGGAAACGCUAGCUAAUACCGCCUACUGUGAGAUGAAUCUGCGUUGGAUUAGCUAGUUGGGUAGGUAAAGGCUAACCAAGGCGACGAUACAUAGGCGACCUGAGAGGGGUGUCGGCCAAACUGGGACUGGGACACGGGCCAGACACCUUCGGGAUGCAUGAGGAGUGAAUCAUCGGCAAUGGACGGAAGUCUUGCUGCGCAACGCCGCGGUAGAUAAGAAAGUUUUCGGAUUGUAAAGCUCUGUUUUGAGAGAAGCGGUAACUAACCAGAAAGGGACGGCUAACUACGUGCCAGCAGCCGCGGUAAUUC
rnacentral:rRNA from 1 species